rnacentral:misc_RNA from 1 species
CCAAUAGCGUAUAUUAAAGUUGUUGCAGUUAAAAAGCUCGUAGUUGAAUUUCGGAAUCAAUAUUUCGGUCAUGCCGUUGGUAUGCACUGUUAUCAUUGAUUUCUCACCUUCUAAAGAACCGUAAUGCCAUUAAUUUGGUGUUACGGGGAAUUAGGACUGUUACCUUGAAAAAAUUAGAGUGUUUAAAGCAGGCUCACGCUUGAAUACAUUAGCAUGGACUAAUGAAAUAGGACAUCCGAUUCUAUUUUGUUGGUUUCUAGGAUAGAUGUAAUGAUUAAUAGGGUUAGUUGGGGGGAUUAGUAUUCAAUUGUCAGAGGUGAAAUUCUUGGAUUUAUUGAAGACUAACUACUGUGAAAGCAUUUGCCAAGGAUGUUUUCAUUAAUCAAGAACGAAAGUUAGGGGAUCGAAGACGAUCAGAUACCGUCGUAGUCUUAACCAUAAACUAUGCCGACUAGGGAUCGGAUGAUGUUAAUUUUUUAAUGACUCAUUCGGCGCCUUACG